GUGGGGAAUAUUGGACAAUGGGCGCAAGCCUGAUCCAGCCAUGCCGCGUGAGUGAUGAAGGCCCUAGGGUUGUAAAGCUCUUUCACCGGUGAAGAUAAUGACGGUAACCGGAGAAGAAGCCCCGGCUAACUUCGUGCCAGCAGCCGCGGUAAUACGAAGGGGGCUAGCGUUGUUCGGAAUUACUGGGCGUAAAGCGCACGUAGGCGGGUAUUUAAGUCAGGGGUGAAAUCUCGGAGCUCAACUCCGGAACUGCCUUUGAUACUGGGUACCUAGAGUAUGGAAGAGGUAAGUGGAAUUCCGAGUGUAGAGGUGAAAUUCGUAGAUAUUCGGAGGAACACCAGUAGCGAAGGCGGCUUACUGGUCCAUUACUGACGCUGAGGUGCGAAAGCGUGGGGAGCAAACAGGAUUAGAUACCCGAGUAGUCC
rnacentral:rRNA from 1 species